UCUCAAACAAGAAUGUUAAAAGAAUUAGCAAACUUAGAGCAGAGUGUUUGUGGUUUACCUAUUAGGUUCCUUCCAGGCCUUAACAGUGCAUCUCAUAGAACAUCUUACAAUUGGAAAAACCUUCAACAUCGACAAACACGGGCUGUUGCUGUCGUUCAGAGUGAUUCCCUAGCAUGCACAAGGUCCUGGAUUUGAUACCCAGCACCACGAACACCUUCACAUUGAUCAAAACACAGCCAUCUCCCCUUAUGUGUGGCUUCAGUUACCUAAGCUCAGCUGUGGUCAGGAAAUGGCUAAUGGAAAAUUCCAGAAAUCAUUCAUAAGUCCUCAAUUGCACCCUGUUCUGGGAGGAAUGAUGAAACUUUGUGCCGUCAAAUGGAGUCCUGACUAGUACGCUACCCAUUCCUUUGUGCAGGGCAUUGACACCACACACCACUGCCUCUGAGUCUCUCGGUAGUCAGAGCCGUGAUGCAAUGGCACGGUGAUCGGGUUUGUCAGAAUGAUUCUACUCUGUAAUGGGCUGUCAUUGGUAAUUUCUUCCUGUGCCUAAUUGUAAAAUCAGAUUUGUUCUAUCCUAUGUGUGAGAGUUUUGCCCUCAUGUGCACAUAUGUACUUAUUGAGGGUUUGGUGCUUUUAGAGGUCAGAAUAGAUCCCCUGGAACUGGAGUUACAGGUGGUUGUGAACUACCAUAUCGGUGCUGGGACUUGAACCCAGGUCCUCUUCAAGAGCAACAAGUGCUCCCAACAGCUGAGGCAUCUCUCCAGCCCCUCCUGGGCUCAGUUUAUAAACUGAACCCCCAGUUGUUCUACCACUUGAGUCCUGUGAGUUACAAGCAGAUGACACCAGGUUCAGUUUAUACAGUGCCAAGGACCAAAUCCAGGGCUUUCUGCCUCCUAGACAAACAGUCUACCAACUGAGCUGUAUCUCAGCUCUGCUGGAUUUUGUUGCUGCUGCUGUGUUUUGAGACAGGGUAUCAUAGAGACCAGACUGGCCUAGAACUCACUGUGUAGCUUUAGAUAAACUGGAACUGCUUUACCUUCCUGGAUCCUCCUGUUUUCUUUCCCAAAUGAUAGGAUUACAGGCACCUGUUUCAACGUAGCCCGACUGUCCUGGAACUCACUCUGUAGGCUGGCCUCAGACUCAGAGAGCCACCUGCCCCUGCCCCUGCCUUUCAAGUGGUGGGACUAAAGGGAUGUGCCACCACACCCAGCUCUUUUAAUUUUUCAUUAUUUGUCAUUUUGAUCAUGUUGAAUUAAUGUUUAUAAUGAAGUGAAAACUCCAUACAGUAUAAUGUGGUGACAUUAUUAUUUAACAUCACAAUCUCAUGGAGCCAUCACCAUUAUUAAGAAUGGUUCCCCCCAGGGGCUGGGGAUUUAGCUCAGGUGGGGCUGGGGAUUUAGCUCAGUGGUAGAGCGCUUACCUAGGAAGCGCAAGGCCCUAGGUUCGGUCCCCAGCUCCGGAAAAAAAAAA
rnacentral:lncRNA from 1 species